AACCAUUUUGUUGAAAAAGGUGAACAUUGAACUUUCUGAUACAUGUAGCAAUCUUGACUAACUGUGGGUGUGUCACCAGUCUGUGCAUGUGUGUCUCUUGUGUCUCCUGCCUGUGUGUGUUUUGUGUUUGCUUCCUGUGUCUAUGUCUGUGCGUCUCAGCCCUGCUGACACAGGCGUUCCAGGCCCACGUGAUGGUGUUCACCCAGACUAAGAAGCAGGCCCACCGGAUGCACAUCCUCCUGGGCCUGAUGGGGCUAAAGGUGGGGGAGCUGCACGGGAACCUGUCCCAGACCCAAAAGACUGAAGAGCCCCAGUGAUCAACUUCACCAUGCCCAACACAAUGAAGCACUACAUUCACAGGGGGGCCGCACAGCCAGAACCUGCAAGGUGGGUCGCUCUGUGUCCAUGGUGGGCGAGACAGAGAGAAAGAUGCUCAAGGACAUUGCCAGGAAGGCCAAGACCCCUGUGAAUUCCAGUGUCCUGGCACAAGAGGUGAUUUCAAAGUUCCGAGACCUGAUUGAGAAGCUGGAGAAAGACGUGUACGCCGUCAGGCGCCUGGAGAGAGAGGAGAGGGCCAUGGCCUACUCGGAGGCUCAGGCAAAAAGCAGCAUAUUGUGUGUAUUCAAAAACAUGGUAGUGUGUUCCUGUGUUCAUAUGUGUGUAUAUGUAUUUUUUGUGUGUGUGUGCGCAUGUGUCAUUCAGAUCAGAGUGGCACAGAAGCAGCUAGCAUAAAACGCAGACGAGACAGACCUCCAGAGGACAUGGUUCCAAAUGCACAACGAGCGCAAGAAAGACCGCAGGGAGUACCGCAGACCAACACACUAUAGGCCUGCCAACCUUCCUACCAUGUUCCUCGCUGCUACUAGAUAGCAUCUUCAUAUCACAACAUCCUGCCCUUUCGAUGUUAAAUGCACAGUACAUGCAGAGCAUUACCAUGGGCAGCAUAGCUCAUCUCACUGCAACCAAUGCCAACGACCUCAACUACAGCUCAACUAAAACAGGCCCUUGACUAAGACCCAGCUAGGGUCAGCACUUUGUUGGUCUCUCUUGUAUGUACAUUGAAAUGAGCCUUUUGAGGCUUAACUGUCUGUGUGCAGAUGUAUCUGUUUUAUUUGAGCUGUGUAUGAGCACCUUGUAAAGCCCAAAGGCAGCAAAAAUCUCUAUCUGCAUAAUUCAUGAUUUAACUUUAUUUCACCUUUGUUUCUGCCAGUGACCAAAGCUCUAGCGAACUUUGACAUGGCCCUAAGGGGAAAGAAGAGAGAGAAGUUCAUCAUAGAGGGGAAAAGGAAAGAGUUAUCGUCUGAGGACAGAGCCCAGUUUGAGAUCCUCAAGUCCCAGAUGUACGCCGAGCGAGCAGCCAAGAGGGACCGCACACUCAAACGAGCCAGGGCCAUGCCAGAGGAUGAGCCUGUCCAGAAAAGUGCGCUUUUAUCACACACUUUUAAACAGCUAAUUACUCAUAUUCUAUAAAGAACUGGGCCGUGUUCGUAAAGCAUCUCAGGAGUAGGCACGCUGAUCUAGUAUUAGUUUUGCCUUCAAGUUCAAAAUUAAUAAUUACAUGGAGUAUAGUACUCCUACUCUGAAACACUAAGAAUAGGAACCAUGGUUUUUCAUAUUUUGUGUUCCAAGUGGGUGGCUUAUUAAAUUAAUGUUUUACUGCUUAAAUCACCAUCAUCACAAUCUGGCCGUGAACAGCCGGUUACAGACUAAUUUUCUGCCUGAAACUUUUUCCAAUUCAUAAUAAACGAGGAUU